rnacentral:rRNA from 1 species
CCCCAUAUUCAGAUCAGCCAUGCAUGUGUAAGUAUAAAUAAUUCUACUUUGAAACUGCGAAUGGCUCAUUAUAUCAGUUAUAGUUUAUUAGAAAUAAUUUACUACUUGGAUAACCGUAGUAAUUCUAGGGCUAAUACAUGAGUAAAUCCUCGACUUUGAAGAGGUGUGUUUAUUAGUAUGAAAACCAUAUGCUUUUGCAUAAUAGUGAGUAAUAAUAACCUUUCAUAUCGUAUGUUGUAAUAACGAUAGUUCUUUCAAGUUUCUGCCCUAUCAGCUUUCGAUGGUAGUGCAUUGGACUACCAUGGCAGUAACGGGUAACGAAGAAUUUGGGUUCGAUUUCGGAGAGGGAGCCUGAGAGAUGGCUACCACAUCCAAGGAAGGCAGCAGGCGCGUAAAUUACCCAAUCCUGACAUAGGGAGGUAGUGACAAUAAAUCACAAUGCGGGACUUUUAGUUUUGCAAUUGGAUUGAGAACAAUGUAAAAGAGUUAUCGAUAAACAAUUGGAGGGCAAGUCUGGUGCCAGCAGCCGCGGUAAUUCCAGCUCCAAUAGCGUAUAUUAACGUUGUUGCAGAAAAAAAAACUCUACAGA